rnacentral:misc_RNA from 1 species
GAUGAAGAACGUAGCGAAAUGCGAUAAGUAAUGUGAAUUGCAGGAUUCAGUGAAUCAUCGAAUCUUUGAACGCACAUUGCGCCCCCUGGCAUUCCGGGGGGCAUGCCUGUUCGAGCGUCAUUACAACCCUCAAGCUCUGCUUGGUAUUGGGCUCUGCUGGGACCGGCAGGCCUUAAAAUCAGUGGCGGCGCCACUCGGCUUCAAGCGUAGUAAUUCUUCUCGCUUCGGAGACCCGGGUGCGUGCUAGCCAGCAACCCCCAACUUUCUUAGGUUGACCUCGGAUCAGGUAGGGGUACCCGCUGAACUUAAGCAUAUCAAUAAGCGGAGGA